UCGUGUAAGCUAUGUUCCCUGGUAGCAAGUCACAAGUGCUGUGUUAUUACCCUUUUUGCUGUUGAAUGAGUUGGCGAGUGUUUUACCCGAAGGGGAGCGGGUAACUGCGAAGGAUAUUAUCUAGUUGAGAGCAUCGUGAAUUGCUGUUACAUCGUGUGGGCCAAGGCAAACGUUCAAGAAGAAGCAGUUGUCGAUGGUUGAAACGUCUGAGCUGGACAGUAAAUGUUUGAUGGUCUCCCCUCUGAAGUCUCGCGGCCUGAGUGAUGUCCAAAACAAUUCAGUUAGGUGAAGUUUUUAUUUGAGAAGGAAUCCGAUGGACACUAGCGGAACUCUGGCAGGGAACAACACUUGCGGAACGCACUAUAUUGUGAUGCUUAGCGGAUGGCGGAUGGAAAAUGGGUAACGAAAUUUACUUCUGACGAGAGGUUGGAAGGUCUGGCUGCGACUAGGUAGUGGGGAUGUAACCCAGUCUUUUUUUUUUAAAUCUCCUGCAGGCAAAUUGAAAGAGUUUAAGGGCAUUUGAAGAAAUACUAAAAACUUUGACAGAAUUUAACUUACCUUCCCUGGAUGUAAAUUUUUCAGUUGUACGAGAUUUUAAAUUUGUGUACCUCUUGAAGGUGAUUCUGAUAUCUUAACGUAAUUCCGAUGUACAAUAAAUUUCCAGGUAGUCUUUUUCCUGUAAAACUUUUAUGUAGCUUUGUGGAUGUGUAACUAGACAGACACUAAGAUUAAUCAGGAAUGAUACCCAAAUAAAAAGUA